AUUGAACGCUGGCGGCAGGCCUAACACAUGCAAGUCGAGCGGAUGAAGGGAGCUUGCUCCUGGAUUCAGCGGCGGACGGGUGAGUAAUGCCUAGGAAUCUGCCUGGUAGUGGGGGAUAACGUCCGGAAACGGGCGCUAAUACCGCAUACGUCCUGAGGGAGAAAGUGGGGGAUCUUCGGACCUCACGCUAUCAGAUGAGCCUAGGUCGGAUUAGCUAGUUGGUGGGGUAAAGGCCUACCAAGGCGACGAUCCGUAACUGGUCUGAGAGGAUGAUCAGUCACACUGGAACUGAGACACGGUCCAGACUCCUACGGGGGGCAGCAGUGGGGAAUAUUGGACAAUGGGCGAAAGCCUGAUCCAGCCAUGCCGCGUGUGUGAAGAAGGUCUUCGGAUUGUAAAGCACUUUAAGUUGAGAGGAAGGGCAGUAAGUUAAUACCUUGCUGUUUUGACGUUACCAACAGAAUAAGCACCGGCUAACUUCGUG
rnacentral:rRNA from 1 species